AUUCCAGCUCCAAUAGCGUAUAUUAAAGUUGUUGCAGUUAAAACGCUCGUAGUCGGAUUUCGGGGCGGGCCGACCGGUCUGCCGAUGGGUAUGCACUGGCCGGCGCGUCCUUCCACCCGGAGACCGCGCCUACUCUUAACUGAGCGGGCGCGGGAGACGGGUCUUUUACUUUGAAAAAAUCAGAGUGUUUCAAGCAGGCAGUCGCUCUUGCAUGGAUUAGCAUGGGAUAAUGAAAUAGGACCUUGGUCUAUUUUGUUGGUUUGCAUUCCAAGGUAAUGAUUAAUAGGGAUAGUUGGGGGUAUUCGUAUUCAAUUGUCAGAGGUGAAAUUCUCAGACCAGCGGAAGACGAACCACUGCGAAAGCAUUUGCCAGGGAUGUUUUCAUCG
rnacentral:rRNA from 1 species